UGAGGAAUAUUGGUCAAUGGACGGAAGUCUGAACCAGCCAUGCCGCGUGGAGGAAGAAGGUCCUAUGGGUUGUAAACUCCUUUUGUUCCAGAGUAAUAAGGGCUUUGCGAAGCCUGAUGAGAGUAUGGGACGAAUAAGCAUCGGCUAACUCCGUGCCAGCAGCCGCGGUAAUACGGAGGAUGCAAGCGUUAUCCGGAUUUAUUGGGUUUAAAGGGUGCGCAGGCGGGCUGUUAAGUCAGCGGUGAAAUCUCCCGGCUCAACCGGGGAACUGCCGUUGAUACUGGCAGCCUAGAGUACGGACGGCGCCGGCGGAAUGUGUCAUGUAGCGGUGAAAUGCUUAGAUAUGCCACAGAACACCUAUCGCGGAGGCAGCUGGCGAGGCCGGAACUGACGCUCAGGCACGAAAGCGUGGGGAUCAAACA
rnacentral:rRNA from 1 species